ACGCCCUUAGAGUUUGAUCCUGGCUCAGGAUGAACGCUAGCUACAGGCUUAACACAUGCAAGUCGAGGGGAAACGACAUCGAAAGCUUGCUUUUGAUGGGCGUCGACCGGCGCACGGGUGAGUAACGCGUAUCCAACCUGCCCACCACUUGGGAAUAACCUUGCGAAAGUAAGACUAAUACCCAAUGACGUCUCUAGAAGACAUCUGAAAGAGAUUAAAGAUUUAUCGGUGAUGGAUGGGGAUGCGUCUGAUUAGCUUGUUGGCGGGGUAACGGCCCACCAAGGCUACGAUCAGUAGGGGUUCUGAGAGGAAGGUCCCCCACAUUGGAACUGAGACACGGUCCAAACUCCUACGGGAGGCAGCAGUGAGGAAUAUUGGUCAAUGGACGAGAGUCUGAACCAGCCAAGUAGCGUGCAGGAUGACGGCCCUAUGGGUUGUAAACUGCUUUUAUAAGGGAAUAAAGUGAGUCUCGUGAGACUUUUUGCAUGUACCUUAUGAAUAAGGACCGGCUAAUUCCGUGCCAGCAGCCGCGGUAAUACGGAAGGUCCGGGCGUUAUCCGGAUUUAUUGGGUUUAAAGGGAGCGUAGGCCGGAGAUUAAGCGUGUUGUGAAAUGUAGAUGCUCAACAUCUGCACUGCAGCGCGAACUGGUUUCCUUGAGUACGCACAAAGUGGGCGGAAUUCGUGGUGUAGCGGUGAAAUGCUUAGAUAUCACGAAGAACUCCGAUUGCGAAGGCAGCUCACUGGAGCGCAACUGACGCUGAAGCUCGAAAGUGCGGGUAUCGAACAGGAUUAGAUACCCUGGUAGUCCGCACGGUAAACGAUGGAUGCCCGCUGUUGGUCUGAAUAGGUCAGCGGCCAAGCGAAAGCAUUAAGCAUCCCACCUGGGGAGUACGCCGGCAACGGUGAAACUCAAAGGAAUUGACGG
rnacentral:rRNA from 1 species